UCCCAAAGACUGACAAGUUGAUGCCACUGC
rnacentral:piRNA from 1 species